rnacentral:lncRNA from 1 species
UUCCAAGCUCCCUAUCACAAACUUGGUUUCUUUUUGUGGGCUUUCCUCUAUAAAUAUAUAGAGAAAAGCACAACCCAAAGAAACACAGAGUUUUUACUCAGAGAAACAAGUGCAAAUGGCAAAGAAUAGCAGCAGAGUGGCAAUCAUGAACUUGAUUUUACUGCUCUCUCUUCUUCUAAUGGUUUCCAUGGCUGAGAGUAGACAACUUGGCAGUAAGAAUUCUUCCCAACUUGAUUCCUUAUUUUCCUUUAAAAUUAUUUCUUAGUUGUUCAUAUUUAAUACAUGCGUUAAUGUUUGUUGCAGUUGGAUUUGGAAAGGAAGAAACUAGCAACCCUAGUAAUAUCAAUUGCGAUUCAGUUUAUGGUGCAGAGGAGGGUGAUACAUGUGGUUCUGUUAUUGAAAAGUUCAAUUUGAGUUCUGAUUUCUUCCUCUCUAUCAACCCUAAUAUCAAUUGCGACAGCUUCUUUGUGGGUCAAUGGCUUUGUACUCAAGGCACUGUGAACUGA